rnacentral:rRNA from 1 species
AGUGAACGCUGGCGGUAGGCCUAACACAUGCAAGUCGAACGGCAGCACAGUAAGAGCUUGCUCUUACGGGUGGCGAGUGGCGGACGGGUGAGGAAUACAUCGGAAUCUACUUUUUCGUGGGGGAUAACGUAGGGAAACUUACGCUAAUACCGCAUUCGACCUACGGUUGAAAGCAGGGGAUCUUCGGACCUUGCGCGAUUGAAUGAGCCGCUGUCGGAUUAGCUAGUUGGCGGGGUAAAGGCCCACCCAGGCGACGAUCCGUAGCUGGUCUGAGAGGAUGAUCAGCCACACUGGAACUGAGACACGGUCCAGAGACCUAGGGGAGGCAGAAGUGGGGAAUAUUGGACAAUGGGCGCAAGCCUGAUCCAGCCAUACCGCGUGGGUGAAGAAGGCCUGCGGGUUGUAAAGCGCUUUUGUUGGGAAAGAAAAGCAGCAGGUGAAUACCACGCUGUUCUGACGGUACCCAAAGAAUAAGCACCGGCUAACUUCGU